AUUGAACGCUGGCGGCAGGCUUAACACAUGCAAGUCGAGCGAGCGGCGGACGGGUGAGUAAUGUAUGGGGACUGCCCGAUAGAGGGGGAUAACCAAUGGAAAAGGUAGCGAAUACAGCAUACUAUCGGAUAACUCACAGGGGAUUAGCUAGUUGGUGGGGUAAUGGCUCACAAAGGCGACGAUCCCUAGCUGGUCUGAGAGGAUGAUCAGCCACACUGGGACUGAGACACGGCCCAGACUCCUACGGAGGCAGCAGUGGGGAAUAUUGCACAAUGGGCGCAAGCCUGAUGCAGCCAUGCCGCGUGUGUGAAGAAGGCCCUAGGGUUGUAAAGUACUUUCAGUCGGGAGGCGUUACCGGCAGAAGAAGCACCGGCUAACUCCGUGCCAGCAGCCGCGGUAAUUC
rnacentral:rRNA from 1 species